GGCGGACGCGCAGGCGCUGCCCUGACCGGGCGGCUGCGCUCGUCUCGGAGCCCGCUCCCCGGCCGGGGGUCUCCAGAUCCCCCUUUGGCCUUUUCCCCUGGGGCGACUCCGGGGGCCAGUUACCAGCAGUCGCUACCCAGCCUUGGCUGCCUCCGUGAAUCAGGUGCUAAUCAGAGGCCUGGUCUCUGGGGGCUCCCCUGCCUGGGUUUUCUGAGUGCGGCAGAUUUAGGCUGGGGGAUUUCCUGCGGCCCUGCCCCAUGCACCAAGACCGAGAAGCCUCGCCUGGUGGGGAGAGGUGGGCUACGUGACUCACCCCGGGGAGGCCCGACCUCCCUACCCUGGGGGAGCAGAUGGCUGGAUCUCUGACCUCAGACCUCACGGCCUUAGAUGAUGUGUGUCCCUUAAUGUCUGCAUUGUGGUUCUGUCUGGAAUGGAUCAAUUUCUAAACUGUAGCAGAAUUGUUUUGGGUGUUCUAUCAACGUUAUUAAACUCUGAAGUUUCUCUCCAGCGACAGAAUCCUUGAGCCAGUGGUUUUUCUUCUUAAUUUAUGUAUCCUCAACAAUGUCCUGAACAUAGUAGGUGCUUAAUAAAUAUUUGCUGAAUGAGUACAUGCGUCAAUCUGACGUGCCCUGGCUCACCCCUGCUGACUUCAUUUUAUCUUCUUGCUAAGCGAGUUACACACAUGCUGGUCUCCUGUCUGUUCCUUGAGCCUGUCAGGCUUGCUGGGCUGUGCUCUCUAUCCAGACACCUGGAUCCCCAGCUCUCUGCAUACCUGCCUGUUAUCGCUGAGGUAUCAGCCCAAAUGCCAUCUCUCCUAAGAGGCUUUUCCUAACCACCCAAUUCCAGCAUUGUCCAGAGAGAGGCUGCCCAGUUGAAUACCUGAGUUCUCAAGGCCAUGCAGAACAGCCUGACCAUGAGGAUGGGCCCCUGUGGUAUACGACCUCAACUCUUCAAAGGUCACAAUUUCCAGCCUUCCAAGCAGUCUUCUAAUUAUGAACGUGGUUUCCUCCUUUCGCUGAAGAGAUUUGCGGGGCUCAGAUCUCAGCACGGAUAUCUGGAGAGUGUGGGGUCAGGGAAGAGCAGCAAGAGGAAUGGAUAUCCAGAUAUAGGGCACACUCAACAGAGAGAGAGAGAAAGAGAGAGGAGAGAGAGAGGAGAGAGAGGAGAGAGUCCUUGCACACAAUGCUUCCGUGUAUUGCUGUACUCCACCCCUUGGUCUACAGCCAUAGCCGUACUUGGCAGAGCACAAGACUCUCUGUGGUUCUGCCUCUUGGCAUCAUGUUGUUUUUUGAUCUUUGGUAAGAAACCAUGCCUGACUUAUGCAUGGCCAUCAUGGAAGUUGCUUGUGUUCAUUUUCCGUGUGUGGAAUGGUCUGACUUGGCCCAUCUACUUCCCUGUCUCUACAAAGGAAGGUCUACCUGGGACAACAAACUAGGCCCUUAAAACUUUUCAUGGUUUAAAAACGAAACAAAACAAAAACAACAUUUUAUGGUUGAUGACUCGAGCCCAAAACAGUUAACAAAAUCUGAACCACGAAUACCUUUUUAAUCUCAGGAGAAUAAUCAUCAUUUUCAUCAGUGUUUGACAGGACUCCUGUAAGACAAGAGCUUGGGCAUUGCUUCCUCAGCCUAACUUGCCUGGGCGGAAGGAGACAUGGCCAGAAGGUCUUACCAUUUGCCUUGUAUGUGGUACUCUUUCUGAGGUCUCCAACUCUCUUAAAAUCCUGUUCAAAAUGAUCAUGUGGACUGCAGUCUUGUGGACAGCAGGAAAUGGACCCGAAGUGUCCCUGCACAGAGGGUCCUAACCAUCUGUGCUUGCUGCACCUGCACCGUCAGCUACCCUCUCUGAGGCACACUUCUCCUUCUUCAAAUGCCUGCAGGGACCAGGGGGCAGCCCAGAAGUGAAGACAGAAGGGAGGACAGCAAGGGAAGCCCCAGCUCAAAGAAGUGACUGGGCUAGGGCGGCCCUCCUUAAAGAUGCUUCUGCCUGCCUGCCGAGUGUCACUGUUGAGCUCUUCCCUAGUGCAGAGCUUUGCACUGCUUUCAUUUGUUUUUGUUAUUCACUCUUUCAUGCAAAACUGAAAUUGAACUGGAUCUGAAGACACUGAAAAAUGUCUGGGUAGGGGGCUGCAGGGAGCAGGGGUUUUCCUGAGAGAAUGGAAUGUCCCAUGAGAAAUUUCACUUACCAUGAGAGGGGAAGUCCAUUUCGUAUGACAUGAUAUAACACUGUCAUUAUAAACUCUCCGUUGGUUUCACAUGUGUUAAUAUUUAUCAUUCUUUUGAUUAGUUAUUCAUCAAGAAAACCCUGUGAAUUCUGAAAAAAUCAUCAUGUAUCAAGGGUUCCUCAGGCUAGAUGAUGGACCCAGGAUCAUUUUCUCUAUUCUUUGCAACAGAGAGCUUGCUUUUUAUUUUUAUUUAUUUAUUUUUUUAACCAAACACCACUUGGUCUGCAGGUGAGGAGCUGUCCUUGCCCACAUGAGACAAUCUCAUCUGAAGCAACAACCUGGUACCAGGAUAUCAUGUUUACUCAUGAGAAUACCGUCGACCAUUGACCUUCAAGUGAAGGUUGAUCUGUACUUUUUUUUUUUUUUAAGACAGAGUCUCACUCUGUCCCCAAGGCUGGAAUGAAGUGGUGCGAUCUUGGCUCACUGCAACCUCUGCCUCCUGGGUUCAAGCGAUUCUUGUGCCUCAGUCUCCCCAGUAGCUGGGAUUACAAGGGCAUGCCAACACUCCCUGCUAAUUUUUUAUAUUUUUAGUAGAGACAGGGUUUCACCAUGUUGCCUAGGCUGGUCUUGAACUCCUGAGCUCAGGCAAUCCACCCACCUCGGCCUCCCAAAGUGCUGAGAUUACAGGUGUGAGCCACCGUGCCUGGUCUGACCUGUGCUUUUCACCUUCUCUGCACACCUGUGUGCCCUUUCUACAUGGGGCCUCAACUCCAGACCCCGCAAACAACAACUAACAUGAGGACAACUGCUGGGAAGAGGCUGAAGCAAUUGCAGCAUGAUCACACAAGGUUGGGAUAGAUUUCUUUCUCAUCUCUCAUACACACCCCUUGCAAAAAAAUAGGUGGGCAGAAAAGUCUGGGGCUAAGCUUGCCCUGUUUCAUCAAUGUACAGUUUGCAUUACUGAACAGACUAGAACAAUGUGUCAAUGUAAAAACAUUUAUAUCUGGCUUAAAUGACAACAGUUUAUCUGCCCUCCCUCCCCAAAAUACAAAGCAGUACCUAUCUUACCUCUGAUGUAAUUAAAGUGUCCAUGAUGGUAACUUUUCCCAAGCAAAGCCACAGUCUGUCUUAAAGGUGAGAUGAGAUCUUUAUCUCUACAGACAGAAAAUGUUGUAACUUUUAAAUGGCAGUUCACCUCCUGCUUGUUGAGGUUUACAGGGCAGCUUAACAGGUGGGUAGGUGCAGUGGAUGGGCAGAGAGAUAACUGAUAUAUAAGACAGAGAGAUAUGUGGACAUAUUUUCUUACUGUAGUGCUUUUAA
ensembl:lncRNA novel transcript, antisense to DUSP22